rnacentral:lncRNA from 1 species
UGGAAAUGGAGCUUUUGAAAAGACUACUCCCUUUUCUUCAAAUUUGGUGCUUCCCCACAAACAGUAUAAUUAGAAUACAAAAAUCAUAGGUAUUAACUCCAUUCUUGAAGUCCCCGCACCACUUUUUUCUAGCCUCAAAUACAUUCAGUUCCUAAAUAGGAAUAAGUAGUAUUCUGUUACAGCGAUAGCUAAGAACAAUCACAAAGUCAAUAAGUGAGGAACUUACUACAGCUCACGAAUCCGCAUUAUAAUUCAGAAUAAAUUGUCAAAGUCUGAUAAGCAAUUAUGUAUUGCUCUAUAGAUAAAAAUCAUAAAUCAAGAAUCAUGGCUCUUGGCACCAUUAAAAUUAAAAGUAAAACCUUUUUCAAAAAUCCAUGUUACUUUGUAAUACAGAUCACCAUUUUCCAUUAAAAGGAAAACUAUAUAUUCACUCCACAAAAAACAUGAUAAGAAAGCAAGAGUUAAAGAUUGUAACUUUAAUCUCAAGUGCAUAAGUAGUCAUAUUCUCAAUACUAUUAUAUGCCAAGUAAGAGGGGGGGGGGGGAGAGAGAUUAGUCAAAAAGAGUAUUUGAUAUGCUAAAACUGCUCUAAAAGUUUUAAAAACUUGAAAGAACACCAAAAGUAAAUUGAAAUUAGACCUUGCAUCACUGAAUCUUUACACGCUUUAGCAAAUGCUACGACAGAUUGGAUUUCAUGGACACAUAAUAGUCAAUCGAACACUUGGAAAAAGUAUCUAGCACAACAAUUUUUUUUAAAAAAAAGGAACUAUGUGAAAUAGUUCAUAGACACUAAGAGUCUCCUAUACAAGUUUUGUAUAUUUUGGCACAGCAACAUUCAAUUCGCAAGGGGUAUUGACGUGUUAAUAAAAUCACGAAGAAUGAGUUAUUAGAGUAAUAUGAGAAGAACUUGAGAGUGCCAUAGAAAAAUAAUAAACAGGUGAACUAACCUAAUAUCACAGCAGAAAAAAAUGACUUCAACACCAUCCAGAAAAUAGCUGCAAAAGCGUC